UGCCCCAGGGUUUAAUCAAACAGGCAACAGAAAGAUUGCUACAAGAGUAGGCUAGGCUCCUGCAGGGGAGGUCUUGAGGUAGAGCCAUCAAGGGACCUGCCUGAGAGAGGCUAUCCAUUUGAAGAUUUGGUUGGACUUUAUUUGAAUUUUUGGAUUACUCCAAAAGGGUAAUUUAAGCUUUUUAUUUAACCUGGCUGGAAGGCCAAGCUACUGAGCACUCUGAGAGGGAAUUGAAAGAAGAUAUGGGUCUGAGGGAGACCCCAAUGAGGGGUACCAAAGAUGAAGAUCUCUGUCAUGGCACAAAGGAGUGCCCUAGAGGUCUCCUUUCAGUCUGGGACCCCUCCUUAAUUCAGCUUCUGUGAGAGUCAUUGAUCUCAUAAGCAGAGAUGGGGGAGAAGAGUGGCUGACCUACGCAAUAGCAGAUAACAUUCUGCUCAGACAUACUCAGAGAAUGGAAUGCACUCUGAUAGAUGGCAUACUUUUGAAGUACAUUAAAUUUCUAGGAGGGACAACGUAGCAAUCAUGGGAUUUUGAGAUUGGAAAAUACCAAAGGAUGCCGAGCAGAGGCUUAUUGAAUGCUUUCUUUUAAGUGUCUUUGGUUUCCAAGGGAUUUUGGUGCCUCGGGAUCAGAAUAAAAUUGGUCUCUAGACCCUAGGACUGCAUUCACUGCACCUCCUUGGAAGGAAGACCUUAAACUAGCAAUGGUACACACUGAUAACUGUGCCUUCUUCUGAGUUAGUCAAUGACAGAUCAAUGAAGAUGUGUUCAGCAAAAUAAAAAGUGCAUUUUCCGCACUGCACCAAGCUGUCCGAAGUGAAAUGUCCAAACAAGAGUGCAAUGUUAUCAGUAAUUUUACAUCACAGUGUCUUUCAUAUGCUGGACUCAGCUGCAGUAAUAAAGAGAACCUCAUUAUGGAUUUAACUGUCUGAAGUAUGUGUUCUCAUUCUCCGCUGUGUUCCUGCUCUCAUAUGUUAAAAUGCUCAGAGUAGCUUCAUUUUGACAAUCACUUAACACACCUCUGUGUAGUGAUAGUACAAUCUUUCAUAAAUAAAAUCUCUAUCUUGAAAGAAGUGAUACUUAAGGCUAUGAUUCAGCUUCUCAAAAAAUAUUUGCAGAAAAGAUUUUUUUCCACAAAUAGGUAAAUAAUACAUGGCACUAUGAAGGGAAUACAGCAAUCUGGAACUAAGGCACUUUGGACCCAACUCUCUGAUGCUCUGCACCUUGUGUAGUUACUUGCAACCCAUGCACAACCUCUAAACUGCAUUUUACACCCACUUUGGUGCAAGUGACUACACAAGGAGCAAGGCAUCAAAUUGAGCCCAUUUUGUUCAAGCAUCCAUUGUAUAGUAUGAUCAGCAUGUGGAAGACUGUACAUUCCAGAUACCUAGAGCUCUGUGUGGAUACAAAAUUUGUAUCCGUAUCUGA